AACCACAAGGGGAGCGUAGACCGCUGAGAGAGAAUUUAUUCUGACCCUUUGAACCUGUUUAGUUAAUGCUUACGUAGGGAUGUGGUAAA
rnacentral:ncRNA from 1 species